rnacentral:rRNA from 1 species
GGGCCCGCACAAGCGGUGGAGCAUGUGGUUUAAUUCGACGCAACGCGAAGAACCUUACCUACUCUUGACAUCUACAGAAGAACGCAGAGAUGUGUUUGUGCCUUCGGGAACUGUAAGACAGGUGCUGCAUGGCUGUCGUCAGCUCGUGUUGUGAAAUGUUGGGUUAAGUCCCGCAACGAGCGCAACCCUUAUCCUUAGUUGCCAGCGAUUCGGUCGGGAACUCUAGGGAGACUGCCGGUGAUAAACCGGAGGAAGGUGGGGACGACGUCAAGUCAUCAUGGCCCUUACGAGUAGGGCUACACACGUGCUACAAUGGUAUGUACAGAGGGAGGCAAGCUGGCGACAGUGAGCGGAUCUCUUAAAGCAUAUCGUAGUCCGGAUUGGAGUCUGCAACUCGACUCCAUGAAGUCGGAAUCGCUAGUAAUCG